AACCUGAGACGGAGAAGGGGAAAUAUCAGUGUCAACAAAUAUAUAAGUUUGUUGCAUAAGAAGGCAAAGCUGCUGUUGGUUCUAUACAAAAAACAUCUCUGUUAGGUACCUCCCUUCAUCAGCUACAGCAGAAGGAGAAAAGGAAAACAGGGACAAAGCUCCAAGACCACCGGCGCUGGGCUUUUCUGGCUCCCGAUGCCAUUAGGACUGGAGUCAAGCAUUCAGCAGAAUAAACAAGAGAUUUUCGAAUUCAGCAGCACUGGUUUGCAACUUUUUGAGAUGAAGUCAGGGGUGGGUUGCUACCGGUUCGGUCCGGAUCUUGCGAACUGAUAGUAAUGGCAGCGCCCACCCGCCUGGACGUCAUCAUGGAGGCACUGCGCACGCGCAGAAGCGCUGUGUGCACGUGUUCCUGUUGUGAACCAGUAGCAAAGAUUAUACAAGAGGCAAAAUCUGGGCUGCAGCCAGUUCCCUGCAAAUACUCCUCCUGAAGCCAUUGGCUAGGUUACUGUGAUGUCAUUGAAUUUUUAAUGAAUUGCAGCUGUACAGAUUUGUGUGGAGAGAAGAUGAGAAUUUUGCUUGCUAAGCCAAACAGAGGAAGACAGCAAAAGACAGCUGGUGAAUUCAGCUGCUGCACUCUCGGACUGUACAAUUUUAUUCAGAGUACACAAAAAUCUUUACAAGCUUUGCCACUUGUCCAGAACAAAUUAACUAGCUGUGUUUACUAUGCACAGCCAGCAUUUAGUCACAAUUUCAUACACCAUUUCAUGGAAUCUAUACUGUAACACAUAAAAAUAGCAUCAAUAUAGUUUUUUUACAAAACACAAUAGGUUAAAAAAACACGAUACUUAUACUAUACUAACUAUUCUAAUACUGUAUGUUAUAAUCAUAUAUGUACUUGAAUAAUAAUUGCAUUAAAUAACUAUUUACUGUUAACAUAAUGUUUUUAUAUCCUUCUUUGUUGUAUUUUUUUCACUUUUAAAAAAUUCUAUGUGUUUUCUAUUUCUUUAAUAAUAUACCAUA